rnacentral:rRNA from 1 species
CAUUAAUGAAUUGUAGUAGGGGCUGAUGCUGGCAGUGCUAUAUCCUUUGGCUGCAUGUGCUCGCUUCUAACAAUCUUCAUCCAAACACCUGUGCACCUUUGAGUGUCUCCCAGUUGAUCGCUGUCUUUGGCGGUUUUCUUGGGGCUCUCUCCCCCCUUCUCACAUAUACACACUACUUAAAAUGUCGAACGUGCUCGCGCCGUAAGGCUCUUAAUAUACUACAACUUUUAACAACGGAUCUCUUGGCUCUCGCAUCGAUGAAGAACGCAGCGAAAUGCGAUAAGUAAUGUGAAUUGCAGAAUUCAGUGAAUCAUCGAAUCUUUGAACGCACCUUGCGCUCCCUGGUAUUCCGGAGAGCACGCCUGUUCGAGUGUCGUGAAAUUCUCAAGCUGUGAUACUUUUUGUUAUCUCAGCUCGGUAUUGGGCUUUGCCGUGCCCCUUUAUUGGAACGGCUGGCCUUAAAAACAUUAGCUGACCCUCGGGUGGUAUUGGUUCUACUCAGCGUGAUAAUGAUCUGACCGCUGAGGACAUCUUUUGAGAUGGCCAAUUCUCUUGUCUGGGUCGCUUCCAAUCGUGUUUUGCAGAUUUCCCUGAUCUGUGUUCCACUUUCAAUUUUG